UGCAAGUCGAACGGCAGCAGACCGUGACAAUCCCUUCGGGGUGCGUUUGGUGCUGGCGAGUGGCGGACGGGUGAGUAACACGUAGGAAUCUGCCAAACAGUGGGGGACAACCCGGAGAAAUCCGGGCUAAUACCGCAUACGCCCUACGGGGGAAAGCGGGGGACCUUCGGGCCUCGCGCUGUUUGAGGAGCCUGCGUCGGAUUAGCUUGUUGGUGAGGUAAAGGCUCACCAAGGCAACGAUCCGUAGCUGGUCUGAGAGGAUGAUCAGCCACACUGGGACUGAGACACGGCCCAGACUCCUACGGGAGGCAGCAGUGGGGAAUAUUGCACAAUGGGCGAAAGCCUGAUGCAGCCAUACCGCGUGGGUGAAGAAGGCCUUAGGGUUGUAAAGCCCUUUCAGCAGGGAAGAAAGGUACAGGGUUAAUAACCCCGUAAUUUGACGGUACCUGAAUAAGAAGCACCGGCUAACUCCGUGCCAGCAGCCGCGGUAAUACGGAGGGUGCAAGCGUUAAUCGGAAUUACUGGGCGUAAAGCGCGCGUAGGCGGUCUGGUCAGUCAGAUGUGAAAGCCCCGGGCUCAACCUGGGAACUGCAUUUGAUACUGCUGGACUAGAGUGUGGUAGAGGGAAGUGGAAUUCCGCGUGUAGCGGUGAAAUGCGUAGAUAUGCGGAGGAACAUCAGUGGCGAAGGCGACUCCCUGGCCAAAGACUGACGCUCAUGUGCGAAAGUGUGGGUAGCGAACAGGAUUAGAUACCCUGGUAGUCCACACCGUAAACGCUGUCUACUAGCUGUGUGUGUCUUUAAGACGUGCGUAGCGAAGCUAACGCGCUAAGUAGACCGCCUGGGAGUACGGCCGCAAGGUUAAAACUCAAAUGAAUUGACGGGGGCCCGCACAAGCGGUGGAGCAUGUGGUUUAAUUCGAUGCAACGCGAAGAACCUUACCUACACUUGACAUGCUGAGAAGUUACUAGAGAUAGUUUCGUGCUUUCGGGAACUCAGACACAGGUGCUGCAUGCCUGUCGUCAGCUCGUGUCGUGAGAAUGUGGUUAGUCCGCACGAGCGCACCCUUGUCCUUAGUUGCAGCCUUAGGUUGGGCACUCUAGAGAACUGCUGUGC
rnacentral:rRNA from 1 species